rnacentral:misc_RNA from 1 species
GAAAAAAAAAAGGGGAAGGGAUCCUAGCGAGCCAACCUCCCACCCGUGUUUACUGUACCUUAGUUGCUUCUGGCGGGGCCGCCAUUCAUGGCCGCCGGGGGCUCUCAGCCCCGGGCCCGCGCCCGCCGGAGACACCACGAACUCUGUCUGAUCUAGUGAAGUCUGAGUUGAUUGUAUCGCAAUCAGUUAAAACUUUCAACAAUG